rnacentral:lncRNA from 1 species
UCCAGUCAUCAACCUUCAACAGUGCCAAUCGGACUUCAACAGUGCUAACCAGAUCCCUCCAACAGACAAAUUUUCUCCGGACCCCUCCAGUGGUCGACCUUCCGCAAUGCCCUCCAGACUCCUCCAGCAGACGAACUUCCACAACACCUUCCGGACUCUCCUAUCAGCCGACCUUCUAUAGCACCUUCCGAAUUCCACUGUCGGUCAACCUUCUGUCGGAUUCCUCAUGCAAUCGGACCUCUCCAGCAGAUAAUUCUUC